CGGUCGGGUCUAUUGGACUGCACCUAGCCCAGCCUACGCUUGUUCACAUUUCCCAACCCUUCAGAUAUUUAGACAAUCUCAGAAAAAAGAUAGUGUAAUUAUCCUUUGGAAUAUAUUUUUUUUUAUGCCUUUUAUACAAUGAAUUUUUUUUUUUUCGAAUUAUACAAUGAAGUUAAUUCAAAAAAAAGAAAGAAAGGGCAUGCUUACUUUUUUUCUUAUUAUUAUUAUUUUUUAGGUGAUCUUGAACUUGGGUUAAAUGUUGAUUCGGAAAUUUUAUCGACCACACUGUCUUAAUGAUACUGAAUCCUCUAUUUUCGUUUAAUUAAUAACGCAUUAAUAUGACCUUACAAUUCCGAAAAAAUAAAAAAUAAAAAAAUAAUAUGAUCUUCCAAGAAAAAAAGAAGAAGGUAAUUACUACGUGUUACUUUGCACGGCGUCGUUCUUGUGCAAAAUGCAUUUCUCUCUCUUGGAUUUCCUUCUCUCUUCCCCAUUCAAAACCUCUUCAUUGCACUCAUUUUAAAUCUAAGAAACCCAAAUCGAUUCAAUUCUCUUUACCCAUAUUUUUCUUGGUUUUUGAUUGUUGUGAAUAGAAAGAGAUCGUGCGUGAGGGAGUCCCAAGGUUUUCAAUUGGAGUCCGCAGUUUGAGUUCGUCGGCAUUAGUCGGGUUUGCCGCCUCCACCGCCACAUCGCCACCAUAGCCGGCGGUGGCACUCCUAAGGGUCUUCUUUCACUUCUAGAUAUGGUCAUUCUGUUACCAAGAUCAAGGAACUGAUGCUACAAGCAUGCCGUCCUUUUCUCAGUUUGUUGCCUCCAAUGGCAAUAUGUUCUGGGGAUGGUUCUUUCUCAUAUUUGGCUCUAUAUUCUUUCUAGGUUUCUUCUACACAGCAAUUAUGUCAAAGUUUCUUCCACCAUCAGAGAAUGUUUUCUUAUCUGCCAUUCAAAAUGAUAGGUAAAAUUCUGUUGCACUGGGUUCCAUCUCUAGACAAAUUAUUGAAAAAUUUGACAUUGCUGAUUCCUAUAUUAAGCAAUGUAAUAUUCUUCUAAUUUUCUAAACUAUUGUUUACCCAAGGGAAUGAUGUGUUUCGCUCAAUGUUCGGCAAAUUAGCUAGUUUUGAAUUAUUAUUGUAGCACUGUAUUGUCACACUUCUUAAUAUUGAAAUCAUAUACUUGCUUCUGUUUAUUGUA